UAGGGAAUCUUCCACAAUGGCGCAAGCCUGAUGGAGCAACACCGCGUGAGUGAAGAAGGGUUCGGCUCGUAAAGCUCUGUUGUUGGAGAAGAACGUGCGUGAGAGUAACUGUUCACGCAGUGACGGUAUCCAACCAGAAAGUCACGGCUAACUACGUGCC
rnacentral:rRNA from 1 species